rnacentral:rRNA from 1 species
CACGCCGUAAACGAUGAGUGCUAGGUGUUGGGGGGAUACACCUCAGUGCCGAAGGAAACCCAAUAAGCACUCCGCCUGGGGAGUACGGUCGCAAGACUGAAACUCAAAGGAAUUGACGGGGGCCCGCACAAGCAGUGGAGCAUGUGGUUUAAUUCGAAGCAACGCGAAGAACCUUACCAGGGCUUGACAUCCCUCUGACGCACCUAGAGAUAGGUGUUCCCUUCGGGGCAGAGGAGACAGGUGG